rnacentral:rRNA from 1 species
CCUACGGGAGGCAGCAGUAGGGAAUCUUCCGCAAUGGACGAAAGUCUGACGGAGCAACGCCGCGUGAACGAUGAAGGCCUUCGGGUCGUAAAGUUCUGUUGUUAGGGAAGAGCAAGUGCUAGUUGAAUAAGCUGGCACCUUGACGGUACCUAACCAGAAAGCCACGGCUAACUACGUGCCAGCAGCCGCGGUAAUACGUAGGUGGCAAGCGUUGUCCGGAAUUAUUGGGCGUAAAGCGCGCGCAGGCGGUUUCUUAAGUCUGAUGUGAAAGCCCCCGGCUCAACCGGGGAGGGUCAUUGGAAACUGGGAAACUUGAGUGCAGAAGAGGAAAGUGGAAUUCCAAGUGUAGCGGUGAAAUGCGUAGAGGUUUGGAGGAACACCAGUGGCGAAGGCGACUUUCUGGUCUGUAACUGACGCUGAGGCGCGAAAGCGUGGGGAGCAAACAGGAUUAGAUACCCUGGUAGUCCACGCUGUAAACGAUGAGUGCUAAGUGUUAGAGGGUUUCCGCCCUUUAGUGCUGAAGUUAACGCAUUAAGCACUCCGCCUGGGGAGUACGGUCGCAAGACUGAAACUCAAAGGAUUGACGG